AACGAACGCUGGCGGCAGGCCUAACACAUGCAAGUCGAACGCCGUAGCAAUACGGAGUGGCAGACGGGUGAGUAACACGUGGGAACGUACCCUUCGGUUCGGAAUAGCUCAGGGAAACUUGAGCUAAAACCGGAUACGUCCGAGAGGAGAAAGAUUUAUCGCCGAGGGAUCGGCCCGCGUCUGAUUAGCUUGUUGGUGAGGUAACGGCUCACCAAGGCGACGAUCAGUAGCUGGCUGAGAGGAUGAUCAGCCACAUUGGGACUGAGACACGGCCCAAACUCCUACGGGAGGCAGCAGUGGGGAAUAUUGGACAAUGGCGCAAGCCUGAUCCAGCCAUGCCGCGUGAGUGAUGAAGGCCCUA
rnacentral:rRNA from 1 species